rnacentral:rRNA from 1 species
UACGGAGGGGGCUAGCGUUGUUCGGAAUUACUGGGCGUAAAGGGCGCGUAGGCGGUCUGUUGCGUCAGGCGUGAAAGCCCUGGGCUCAACCCGGGAGGUGCGCUUGAAACGGGCGGGCUUGAGACCGGGAGAGGAGAGUGGAAUUCCCAGUGUAGAGGUGAAAUUCGUAGAUAUUGGGAAGAACACCGGUGGCGAAGGCGGCUCUCUGGCCCGGUUCUGACGCUGAGGCGCGAAAGCGUGGGGAGCAAACAGG